rnacentral:rRNA from 1 species
GGCGGGCUGGAAUCUCUCGGGGUUACAGCCUUGCUGAAUUAUUCACCCUUGUCUUUUGCGUACUUCUUGUUUCCUUGGUGGGUUCGCCCACCACUAGGACAAACAUAAACCUUUUGUAAUUGCAAUCAGCGUCAGUAACAAAUUAAUAAUUACAACUUUCAACAACGGAUCUCUUGGUUCUGGCAUCGAUGAAGAACGCAGCGAAAUGCGAUAAGUAGUGUGAAUUGCAGAAUUCAGUGAAUCAUCGAAUCUUUGAACGCACAUUGCGCCCUUUGGUAUUCCAAAGGGCAUGCCUGUUCGAGCGUCAUUUGUACCCUCAAGCUUUGCUUGGUGUUGGGCGUCUUGUCUCUAGCUUUGCUGGAGACUCGCCUUAAAGUAAUUGGCAGCCGGCCUACUGGUUUCGGAGCGCAGCACAAGUCGCACUCUCUAUCAGCCAAGGUCUAGCAUCCAUUAAGCCUUUUUUCAACUUUUGACCUCGGAUCAGGUAGGGAUACCCGCUGAACUU